rnacentral:rRNA from 1 species
AGCAGCCGCGGUAAUUCCAGCUCCAAUAGCGUAUAUUAAAGUUGUUGCAGUUAAAAAGCUCGUAGUUGAAUUUCGGGAUCAGUACGUCGGUCGUGCCUUCGGUACGUACUGGUGUUACUGGUUUCUACCUUCUGAAGAACCGUCAUGUCAUUAAUUUGGUGUGGCGGGGAAUCAGGACUGUUACUUUGAAAAAAUUAGAGUGUUUAAAGCAGGCUCGCGCUUGAAUACAUUAGCAUGGAAUAAUGAAAUAGGACGUUCGAUCCUAUUUUGUUGGUUUCUAGGAUUGACGUAAUGAUUAAUAGGGAUAGUUGGGGGCAUUAGUAUUCAAUUGUCAGAGGUGAAAUUCUUGGAUUUAUUGAAGACUAACUACUGCGAAAGCAUUUGCCAAGGAUGUUUUCAUUAAUCAAGAACGAAAGUUAGGGGAUCGAAGACGAUCAGAUACCGUCGUAGUCUUAACCAUAAACUAUGCCGACUAGGGAUCGGAUGAUGUUAAUUUUUUAAUGUACUCAUUCGGCGCCUUACGGGAAACCU